AGUAAAGUGGCGUACGGGUGAGUAACACGUGGAUAAUCUGCCCUAGAGUGGGGAAUAACGAUGGGAAACCGUCGCUAAUACCGCAUAAUCCCGAGAGGGGAAAGCAGCAAUGCGCUCAAGGAGGAGUCCGCGGCCGAUUAGCUUGUUGGUAGGGUAAUGGCCUACCAAGGCUUCGAUCGGUAGCCGGCCUGAGAGGGCACACGGCCACACUGGAACUGAAACACGGUCCAG
rnacentral:rRNA from 1 species